ACUUAAAAGAGGGACGGACAACAAGGAAGACAGGGCAAAUAAAUUACAGUUAAAUUUACAAGAUAUUUUAGGAAAAAUUUCUACUUCUAAAGAUAUAAGUUACUUAAUUAAUUAUCUCAAGAAAACAAAAUUGAUAGAAAAGAUAUAAGUUGUUUUUUGUUUUGCUUUGAGGGGGGUGUUUAAAGUUAGCGUGCCGAUCCACACUCCAUUCCAGUAGAUGGCGGUAAUGCACAUCUAAAAGUUGCUUGCCAACCGCCAUAAAAAAGGAGAAGAAGAAGGAAGAGAGGGCAGAAAAGAAAGCAAGCCAGACAAAGAGGACGGAAGUUUGGGGGACUCUUGUGAUCAGAGAUCCUGGUCAAUUUGUGCAGAGGAGGACAAAUCUGUAGACGAGCAGAGAGGCAGCUGAUAAUAUACCCUAGUCAAAAAAAAUCUGCUCUUCUGGACUUGCUUGGGUGAUAGCAGUCAGAAGAUUAAGAAACAGGAAGUAUCAAGAUAUCCUGUGAUAAGUGUGGUGUCAUCUCCUUUGCAUGGGAUGUACGAACACAGCAGAGACAUUUGUUUGCGCUGCUUGCUAAAGAUAGAAGAUAUCUCUAACUGUUAUACAAGUUGUGCAUUUGUUCAGUACUUUAUUUGAAGUUGUUUUUCUAAUUAUCAGUACUAAUUAUUUGUUUUAUAGCAAAUAUAAUUGUUUUAUUCAAGUUCAAAAAUAUCCUAAGGUUGAAAAAUGCACAGUCCAAGGAAUCUAAAAACUAAUAAAUGAUCAACAGUCAAUGUUUAUGUUUCGCGCCAUCUUCAGUUCACCAGUCUAUUCCCACAGCUGUUUGAUAUUCUGUUUGUUACUCACCUGAAUUUAAUUCUGUUGAUUACGUCCCAGCGUAUUAAAAUUCCUGGUUUCUGUUUCUCCAUUGCUUGAUUCUCUGUUUGUUUCAUUGUUGCAGUUUUCAGUUGAUUAUUAAAGAGACCACUUUUAUGAUGGCUCUGCGUGGCUCCUGCUGCAUUUUGGGCCCUAAACCACCACAAAUUCUGAGGCAAUGUUUAUUAAAAGAAGGACUUCUGUGUAGACUGUUUGUUCUUCUGUGUUGG